GGGGUUGUGGCUCAGUGGUAGAGUGUUCACCUUGCACGUGUAAGGACCUAGGUUCAAUCCUCAGAACCACA
rnacentral:tRNA from 1 species